rnacentral:rRNA from 1 species
GACGAACGCUGGCGGCGUGCCUAAUACAUGCAAGUAGAACGCUGAAGAGAGGAGCUUACUCUUCUUGGAUGAGUUGCGAACGGGUGAGUAACGCGUAGGUAACCUGCCUUGUAGCGGGGGAUAACUAUUGGAAACGAUAGCUAAUACCGCAUAACAAUGGAUGACACAUGUCAUUUAUUUGAAAGGGGCAAUUGCUCCACUACAAGAUGGACCUGCGUUGUAUUAGCUAGUAGGUGAGGUAAUGGCUCACCUAGGCGACGAUACAUAGCCGACCUGAGAGGGUGAUCGGCCACACUGGGACUGAGACACGGCCCAGACUCCUACGGGAGGCAGCAGUAGGGAAUCUUCGGCAAUGGGGGCAACCCUGACCGAGCCACGCCGCGUGAGUGCAGAAGGUUUUCGGAUCGUAAAGCUCUGUUGUAAGUCAAGAACGGGUGUGAGAGUGGAAAGUUCACACUGUGACGGUAGCUUACCAGAAAGGGACGGCUAACUACGUG